CCUACGGGAGGCAGCAGUGGGGAAUAUUGCACAAUGGGGGAAACCCUGAUGCAGCGACGCCGCGUGAGUGAUGAAGUAUUUCGGUAUGUAAAGCUCUAUCAGCAGGGAAGAAAAUGACGGUACCUGAUUAAGAAGCCACGGCGAACUACGUUCCAGCAGCCGCGGUAAUACGUAGGGGGCAAGCGUUAUCCGGAUUUACUGGGUGUAAAGGGAGCGUAGACGGCAUUACAAGUUUGGAGUGAAAUGCCGGGGCUUAACCCCGGAACUGCUUUGGAAAAUGUGAAGUUUGAGUGCAGGAGAGGUAAGUGGAAUUCGUAGUGUAGCGGUGAAAUGCGUAGAUAUUAGGAGGAACACCAGUGGCGAAGGCGGCUUGCUGGACUGUAACUGACGUUGAGGCUCGAAAGCGUGGGGAGCAAACAGGAUUAGAUACCCGAGUAGUC
rnacentral:rRNA from 1 species